UACUCCUACGGGAGGCAGCAGUGGGGAAUUUUGGACAAUGGGCGCAAGCCUGAUCCAGCCAUGCCGCGUGUGUGAAGAAGGCCUUCGGGUUGUAAAGCUCUUUCGCUAGGGAGGAAAACGUGCGGGCUAAUAUCCGGUGGGGGUGACGGUACCUUGACAAUAAGCACCGGCUAACUACGUGCCAGCAGCCGCGGUAAUU
rnacentral:rRNA from 1 species